rnacentral:rRNA from 1 species
AUUGAACGCUGGCGGCAGGCCUAACACAUGCAAGUCGAACGAGUGGCGGACGGGUGAGUAAUGUCUGGGACACUGCCUGAUGGAGGGGGUUAACGACUGGAAACGGUAGCCAAUACCGCAUACCAUCAGAUGUGCCCAGAUGGGUUUAGCUAGUUGGUGGGGUAACGGCUCACCAAGGCGACGAACCCUUUCUGGUCUGAGAGGAUGACCAGCCACACUGGAACUGAGACACGUUCCAGACUCCUACGGGAGGCAGCAGUGGGGAAUAUUGCACAAUGGGCGCAAGCCUGAUGCAGCCAUGCCGCGUGUAUGAAGAAGGCCUUCGGGUUGUAAAGUACUUUCAGCGGGGAGGCGUUACCCGCAGAAGAAGCACCGGCUAACUCCGUGCCAGCCGCCGCGGUAAUUC